AUUAAACGUAGUUAUGAGUUUCCUUGUCUAACUUUGAUCAUCUGUCUUAUUUAAAAUUUUUUAUGAUUAGUAUUUUUAUUGUUAUUAGAUGAUAAAACAUGAAAAGUACUAUUUUUCAAAAAAAAAAUAAAUAAGACGUACAAUUAAAAUUUGACACUGAAACUCAUGUUUGCGCUUAAA
rfam:Oryza glumipatula chromosome 6, whole genome shotgun sequence.